GUAUUAUUUGUCGUUAUGCGUUCCAUACCCUAAAAUUUGUAUAUCCGCCUCUCAUCCAUAUAUUAAAACGAAAUCUGGGUUUCUCUUAUCCGCUUCUUUUCCAAUACCUACAUACAUCAAAAGACAGGAAAUCGAAUCCUGGGUUUCUGUAAAUCGCCUAUUAUCCAUACAUCAAGAGACAGAAAAACAAAUUAAUUAUGGGUUUCUCUAAUCCGCUUCUUAGCCAUACAUCAAGAGACAGAAAAACGAAUCAUGCGUUUCGUCUGUGGGCGAUCUCUAUAAUAUGGAUACACGAAGGUGGAUUUGUGUGACAAUAUCUAUCUGUUCUCCUUCAAAAACGAGGCGGAUCUUAAGAUUUUGAAAUAAAUCACGGAUUUUACAAAAAGGUUAAGUGGAUCAACGGACAAAGCAAAGUUGGAGUAAUUAGCUAGAGCCUUUGAAGUGAGGUAGUGAACAUUUGGUGUUAGUUAAUCCUAUCACUAGCGAAGCUCUUGAUCGAGUAUAUUGAAAGUGUUGUCUUUUGGGAUGUAAUUUGGUUAAACUUUAGACUAAAAAUCUUUUGGUCAAACGUUUAAGUUAUGGUUGUAAUAUGUGUUGGUGGUGAUCAUUAGAGUAGUUUGUAUGCAAUAGUCAAUGUAUUUUGACAUGUAAUAGUAUCAUUAAAGUUGUGUUUAGUAAGUUUGAUAGCUAAACUAGUUUGAAAAUACAGGUUGGAUACUAUAUAUUACAGAUAGGUCAUGCCGAAUUUUUUAAAAAUAAAAUACAAAUCAAAUCUAAGUAUCA